GGAUGGUCUGAGUGCAGUGGUGUUUACAACUAAUUGGUCACAAACAGUUACAGAUUUUUUUGCUGCUUCUCCACUCCCAUUGUUCACUUGACUAGCUUAAA
rnacentral:Y_RNA from 1 species